UACAGAGGGGGCAAGCGUUAUUCGGAAUUAUUGGGCGUAAAGGGCGCGUAGGCGGCCUGGCAAGUGACGGGUGAAAGCCCUCGGCUCAACCGAGGAACUGCCUGUCAUACUGCCGGGCUUGAGUCCGGGAGAGGUGAGUGGAAUUCCCAGUGUAGCGGUGAAAUGCGUAGAUAUUGGGAGGAACACCAGUGGCGAAGGCGGCUCACUGGACCGGAACUGACGCUGAGGCGCGAAAGCGUGGGGAGCGAACAGG
rnacentral:rRNA from 1 species